UACGUAGGGUGCGAGCGUUAAUCGGAAUUACUGGGCGUAAAGCGUGCGCAGGCGGUUUGUUAAGACAGAUGUGAAAUCCCCCGGGCUUAACCUGGGAACUGCAUUUGUGACUGGCAAGCUAGAGUAUGGCAGAGGGGGGGUAGAAUUCCACGUGUAGCAGUGAAAUGCGUAGAGAUGUGGAGGAAUACCGAUGGCGAAGGCAGCCCCCUGGGCCACUACUGACGCUGAGAAGCGAAAAGCCAGGGGGAGCAAACGGGG
rnacentral:rRNA from 1 species